CGCCUUUCGCGUUAUGAUUAUGAAAGGUUGUACCUGCCCAAUGGUUCCGAAAGACGGAAUUCAAUGGUUGCAGCUAAAUGCUGUACUAAGGUAGCGUAAUAAGUUGCCUCUUAAUUGGGGGCUAGUAUGAAGGGUUUGACGUAAAAAAAGUUGUCUCUGAGAUAAUAUUGUGAAGUUUUUUUUCUGGUGAAAAAUCUAGGAUUUAAUUAAAAGACGAGAAGACCCUGUCGAGCUUGAUAAAACGUAUAGAGUGUUAUACUAAUAAGUUUAGCUGGGGCAGUUCGGAACAAAAAAAAGUUCUGUUUAUAAUUGUGGAUCCGACUAUUGUCGAAUGAAGAAAAAGCUACCGCAGGGAUAACAGCGUAAUUCUCUCUGAGAGGACUAAUUGAAGGGAGGGAUUGCGACCUCGAUGUUGGAUUAAGGUUACUUUCUGGUGCAGCCGUCAGAGUAGUGGGACUGUUCGUCCUUUAAAACCUUACG
rnacentral:rRNA from 1 species